rnacentral:rRNA from 1 species
UACGAAGGAUGCAAGCGUUAUCCGGAUUUAUUGGGUUUAAAGGGUGCGUAGGCGGACUUAUAAGUCAGUGGUGAAAUCUCGUUGCUUAACAACGAACGUGCCAUUGAUACUGUAGGUCUUGAGUACAGAUGCCGUUGGCGGAAUGUGUCAUGUAGCGGUGAAUGCAUAGAUAUGACACAGAACACCGAUGCGAAGGCAGCUGACGAAACUGUAACUGACGCUGAGGCACGAAAGCGUGGGGAUCAAACAGG